UGAUUGCCUCAUCUGUCAUUUGCACUGAGCUCAUGUUGCUAAUUAUUAGCUAUGGUGGAUGCAGAGAGAAAGACGGAAUUGGAUGUGGAACGGCAGAAGCUAUGACAAGCUGCAAGAGGGCCUGGCUGUCACUGGUUACAAAAUUACAAUAUUUCUCAAAGAAACUCCAAAGAACAUGGAAAUGAGACCACAGGAAGAAUCCAGAACUACUACCCAUCAUAAAAUUUCUAUCUGCAA